GCCCGUCUUCCCCUGGUCCUUAUCUCCCCCGGCCACCUCCCUUUCUGAACAGGGUACCAGGUCCAGGAGGGGCAGGGGCCUCCAGGCACCCAGAACCCCGCCCCCCAGCCCCCCAUCAAUGAGCUGAAGCGAGCCCGUGGCGGCUUCGGAUCGGGUUCCUUACCUUCGAAAAUGUUCAGUUCUUCGGUCCAGGGCGGAGCAGAAGGGCAGGCAGAGAGGGAAAAACAGGAAAGCUGGGAAACCAGAGCCCACACAGCCUGCCCUCCAGCCUUACCUGGCCUAGUCUCCGCUGGGGCCACCGCCCGCGCCUCC